rnacentral:rRNA from 1 species
GAGCUUGCUCUCGAAGCUUAGCGGCGAACGGGUGAGUAACACGUGGGCAACCUGCCCGAUAGACCGGGAUAACUUGGGGAAACUCAAGCUUAAUACCGGAUAGGAUCAUUGACUGCCUGGUUGGUGAUGGAAAGUCUGAACGACACUAUCGGAUGGGCCCGCGACGCAUUAGCUAGUUGGUGGGGUAACGGCCUACCAAGGCGACGAUGCGUAGCCGACCUGAGAGGGUGACCGGCCACACUGGGACUGAGACACGGCCCAGACUCCUACGGGAGGCAGCAGUAGGGAAUCUUCCGACAAUGGGCGAAAGCCUGAUGGAGCAACGCCGCGUGAGUGAUGAAGGUUUUCGGAUCGUAAAACUCUGUUGUUAGGGAAGAACACCCGGGAGAGGUCCCGG